rnacentral:rRNA from 1 species
CCUACGGGCGGCAGCAGUGGGGAAUAUUGCGCAAUGGGCGAAAGCCUGACGCAGCGACGCCGCGUGAGGGAUGAAGGUCUUCGGAUCGUAAACCUCUGUCAGCAGGGAAGAACAGUCACUGUGCUAAUCAGCAGUGAAUUGACGGUACCUGCAAAGGAAGCACCGGCUAACUCCGUGCCAGCAGCCGCGGUAAGACGGAGGGUGCGAGCGUUAAUCGGAAUUACUGGGCGUAAAGCGCUCGUAGGCGGUAUGUCAAGUCAAGGGUGAAAGCCCCGCGCUCAACGUGGGAACUGCCUUUGAAACUGGCAAACUGGAGUGUGUGAGAGGAUAGUGGAAUUCCAGGUGUAGGAGUGAAAUCCGUAGAUAUCUGGAGGAACAUCAGUGGCGAAGGCGACUAUCUGGCACAUAACUGACGCUGAGGAGCGAAAGCGUGGGUAGCAAACAGGAUUAGAUACCCCAGUAGUC